AGUAAGAUAACUGAGUCAAAUGUAGUUCCAUUCCAAGUUUUUUAAGGAAUCUCCACACUGCUUUACAGAGUGGCUGCACUAUUUGCAAUCCCACCAGCAAU
rnacentral:pre_miRNA from 1 species